AACGAUUAUGUUAGCUAGUAUUAUUUAGCUUGUGCGUGAUUUUUGAGAAUUUCCCGAACGAGGUUUGAAGUUAUGUGUAUUGUCACUUGCGUCUAACCGAUUAUUCUCGUUUAUUCACGUGAAGAUAGCGGAAAUAACGCGUAAAGAUACGUCCACAUUGCUGUGGUAAAUGGUACUGUGAACCGUAUUUUUAUUUGAAAGAUAAUUUACUUUCGUUUAUACACUGCCAUUGCUUGCGCAAUGAUCCGUUGUACGAUGGUGGACACCGGGCGAUAAAAUAUCGUUUCCGAACGGUAUAACUAUCACACAUUGCUACGAUGUUACGGGGAGGGAAAGGAGGGAGUGAAGAAGGUGCUGACUUACCUACACUAGCAUUUACAACCUGAUACUACUGCUAGGAGGAUAUAGUGACCUAAAUGUACCUCAAUAUGUAAUUUAAACCUAAACCUUGCUACGCGAAACCAAGCCUUCGAUGACCUUCGUGAGCUCGAUUUGCGAGCUCAUGACGGACUUUCAAUCGAAAACACACCCCAAUUUGUUAUGUAAAACCACGUGCGGGGUAGAUAACAAUAUAUUUGUUCCAUGAAUGUCAGGUUCGAACUUGAUACCUGGAGUUGAAGCUAUGCAGCUUAAUUAUUACAAUGGCCUAAUUAAAUAGGGAACGUUAUCAAACCAGCCUAUGAAAACCGUAUAUUUUGCAUAGGUGUAUUUAUCUAUAGAUUAGUAGUAUACGUACCGUAUAACAUUUAACGCAGCAGUUGAUAUUUAGUUUGAAACAAUUGUAAGGACCCUAAAUUUACAAAAAAUAUUUU